rnacentral:rRNA from 1 species
AGCAGCCGCGGUAAAUUCCAGCUCCAAUAGCGUAUAUUAAAGUUGUUGCAGUUAAAAAGCUCGUAGUUGAAUUUCGGGGCCAGUAGGUCGGUCGUGCCACUGGUAUGCACUGGCCUCACUGGUCCCUCCCUCUUGUAGAACCGUGAUGGCAUUAAUUUGUUGUUGCGGGGAAACAGGACUGUUACUUUGAAAAAAUUAGAGUGCUUAAAGCAGGCUCGCGCUUGAAUACAUUAGCAUGGAAUAACGAAAUAGGACGAUCGAACCUAUUUUGUUGGUUUCUAGGAUCGACGUAAUGAUUAAUAGGGAUAGUUGGGGGCAUUAGUAUUCAAUUGUCAGAGGUGAAAUUCUUGGAUUUAUUGAAGACUAACUACUGCGAAAGCAUUUGCCAAGGAUGUUUU